rnacentral:rRNA from 1 species
CACCUAGGCGACGAUCCCUAGCUGGUCUGAAGGAUGACCAGCCCCUGGAACUGAGACCGGUCCACUCCUACGGGAGGCAGCGGGGAAUAUUGAAUGGGGCAAGCCUGAUGCAGCCAUGCCGCGGAUGAAGAAGGCCUUCGGGUUGUAAAGACUUUCAGCGGGGAGGAAGGGGGGUUCUUACGUACCCGAAGAGCACCGGCUAACUCCGUGCCAGCAGCCGCGGUAAUACGGAGGGUGCAAGCGUUAAUCGGAAUUACUUGGCGUAAAGCGCACGCAGGCGGUCUGUCAAGUCGGAUGUGAAAUCCCCGGGCUCAACCUGGGAACUGCAUCCGAAACUGGCAGGCUUGAGUCUUGUAGAGGGGGGUAGAAUUCCAGGUGUAGCGGUGAAAUGCGUAGAGAUCUGGAGGAAUACCGGUGGC